rnacentral:tRNA from 1 species
GCUGCUGUGGCUCAGUGGUUAGAGUCAGCCCACGCAACAAAGGGUCACUGGUUCGAUUCCAGUCAAGGGCA